rnacentral:lncRNA from 1 species
AAUGAUCCACCUGCAAACAAUGCUCAAUUGCACAAUCGUUCCCGCAAGACAUUUUCAAGUAGUUCACACUUUUCAGCCAAGGCUCUAAGAUCUCAUCACACUACUCACAUACCCUCUUCAGUUUUUGGUAAUUCACUCAAAUCAACACAUCAAUGCAAGUCAACAAUAAUUUUGCAAGUAGUCUAAGAAUUCAUUCGGUUCACUUUGUGCACACACAUUAGAGGUCUUUUAGGGUUAUAACGUGGCUUGGCUAGGGUGGAUGGUGACAUUUUGGGAUAAGUAGUAAAGUUUGUAAUACUAUAGUGGACUAUAGUGGACUAGAGAACUUUUUCAAUUCAACAAGUAAAGUUUGUAAUACUUUUGAACUCAAGGCUAUCACUUCUUUUUGAAUUUCAUUUCCCUUUUUCAACAUUC